rnacentral:tRNA from 2 species
GCGGUCGUAGCUCAGGGGUUAGAGCACUGGAUUGUGGUUCCAGGGGUCGAGGGUUCAAAUCCCUUCGGUCGCC